CCUUUAGGAGGGGGAUAACAAUUGGAAACGAUUGCUAAUACCCCAUAUGCUUUUUUAAGUGAAAUGGAUUUAUUCGCCUAAAGAAAAGCUCGCGGCUGAUUAGCUAGUUGGUAAGGUAAUGGCUUACCAAGGCGACGAUCAGUAUCUGGUUUGAGAGGAUGAUCAGACACACUGGAACUGAGACACGGUCCAGACUCCUACGGGAGGCAGCAGUGGGGAAUUUUCCGCAAUGGGCGAAAGCCUGACGGAGCAAUACCGCGUGAGGGAAGAAAGCCUACUGGGUUGUAAACCUCUUUUUUCAGGGAGGAAAAAAAUGACGUGUACCUGAAGAAUAAGCAUCGGCUAACUCCGUGCCAGCAGCCGCGGUAAGACGGAGGAUGCAAGUGUUAUCCGGAAUUACUGGGCGUAAAGCGUCUGUAGGUGGUUUAAUAAGUCAACUGUUAAAUCUUGAGGCUUAACUUCAAAACAGCAGUCGAAACUAUUAGACUAGAGUAUAGUAGGGGUAAAGGGAAUUUCCAGUGGAGCGGUGAAAUGCGUAGAUAUUGGAAAGAACACCGAUGGCGAAAGCACUUUACUGGGCUAUUACUAACACUCAGAGACGAAAGCUAGGGUAGCAAAUGGGAUUAGAUACC
rnacentral:rRNA from 1 species